rnacentral:rRNA from 1 species
GACGAACGCUGGCGGCGCGCCUAACACAUGCAAGUCGAACGAGAGAUGAGGAGCUUGCUCUUCAAAUCGAGUGGCGAACGGGUGAGUAACGCGUGAGGAACCUGCCUCAAAGAGGGGGACAACAGUUGGAAACGACUGCUAAUACCGCAUAAGCCCACGGCUCGGCAUCGAGCAGAGGGAAAAGGAGCAAUCCGCUUUGAGAUGGCCUCGCGUCCGAUUAGCUAGUUGGUGAGGUAACGGCCUACCAAGGCGACGAUCAGUAGCCGACCUGAGAGGGUGACCGGCCACAUUGGGACUGAGACACGGCCCAAACUCCUACGGGAGGCAGCAGUGGGGAAUAUUGCACAAUGGGGGAAACCCUGAUGCAGCGACGCCGCGUGAGCGAAGAGUAUUUCGGUAUGUAAAGCUCUAUCAGCAGGGAAGAAGAAAUGACGGUACCUGACUAAGAAGCACCGGCU